AUUGAACGCUGGCGGCAGGCCUAACACAUGCAAGUCGAGCGGAUGAAGGGAGCUUGCUCCUGGAUUCAGCGGCGGACGGGUGAGUAAUGCCUAUGAAUCUGCCUGGUAGUGGGGGAUAACGUCCGGAAACGGGCGCUAAUACCGCAUACGUCCUGCGGGAGAAAGUGGGGGAUCUUCGGACCUCACGCUAUCAGAUGAGCCUAGGUCGGAUUAGCUAGUUGGUGGGGUAAAGGCCUACCAAGGCGACGAUCCGUAACUGGACUGAGAGGAGGAUCAGUCACAUGAGAAGGGAGACAGGGACAAGAGGACUAAGGGAGGGAGCAGUGGGGAAUAGUAGACAGUGGGGGAAAGCAUGACCCAGCCAGGGGGAGUGUGUUAAGAAGGUGUUGGGAGUGUAAAGAACGUUAAGGGGGGAGAAAGGGCAGUAAGUUAAGACGUAGCGGGAGUGACGUUAACAAGAGAAGAAGCACCGGCUAACUUCGUG
rnacentral:rRNA from 1 species